GAUGAACGCUGGCGGCGUGCCUAAUACAUGCAAGUCGAGCGAACGGACGAGAAGCUUGCUUUUCUGAUGUUAGCGGCGGACGGGUGAGUAACACGUGGAUAACCUACCUAUAAGACUGGGAUAACUUCGGGAAACCGGAGCUAAUACCGGAUAAUAUUUUGAACCGCAUGGUUCAUAAGUGAAAGACGGUCUUGCUGUCACUUAUAGAUGGAUCCGCGCUGCAUUAGCUAGUUGGUAAGGUAACGGCCUACCAAGGCAACGAUGCAUAGCCGACCUGAGAGGGUGAUCGGCCACACUGGAACUGAGACACGGUCCAGACUCCUACGGGAGGCAGCAGUAGGGAAUCUUCCGCAAUGGGCGAAAGCCUGACGGAGCAACGCCGCGUGAGUGAUGAAGGUCUUCGGAUCGUAAAACUCUGUUAUUAGGGAAGAACAUAUGUGUAAGUAACUGUGCACAUCUUGACGGUACCUAAUCAGAAAGCCACGGCUAACUACGUG
rnacentral:rRNA from 1 species